UUCGCCUCUCAGUACCAUUACCUUUACCAUCGCCUCUCAUUUUUAUUUUUCAGUAAUUUCCCCUUUGCUUAAAAACAAAUCCGGAUAGGAAUCUCAGAAUGAGAAAACCCUUCGAAGAAGAAGAAAAAAAAAUGAAACCCUAUGAAUUCUCAGAUUCAAGAAACUCCAAACUCAAUUCAAGAAAGGAUUCUCAAUUCGGAAAUUCUCAGAUUCAAGAAACUCCAAACUCCAAACUCAAUUCUUCUGUAAGCCCAAUUUUCGAUUUUAAUUUUUCGAUCCGUUAUAUAUAUAUAUAUGGCAUCGAUUCAACAUCGAUUCGUUAGGUAUAAGAUUUUUAUGAAUUUUACUGACAAUCCCUAGUUCUGCUAGGGUUUGUAAACUGAAUCGGUUUGUAAAUUUAGAUACCGUAAUUCGAUUCCUAGAGUAUCAAGAUUUUGUUUAAGUGAUGGAUGAAAACAAAGAUGAGCCUGUGAAAUGUUUUAAAAUUGGAGAAGCUGCAUUGAAGGAUUUCAAGCUUGUCAAUCACCCGGCGUGGGACCUUUGUACUUGAUGCCUUAAGCUAAUUUUGAACUUGAGGAGGAAAAAGAUAUUAGUUAUGGGACUGUGCAACCACAGAUGAAGAAAGUCUUUGGUGAUCGUUUUCCAUGUUCUUGGAUCUUGGAUUUCCUCUCCACCAACCUUGUAUGGUGGAUAGAGGCGGGUUUGCAUCGGAACAAUAAUUAUAUCCAAAAUGAUCUCCUAGACUUAAUAAAUGUGAAGGUGAAGUGCCCCUCCAGUUUUCAGCACCAGAAGAAGGUUGAAUGCCUCGCGAUUAGUGAGAAUUUUCUGAACUUAUAUAUAGGAUUGUUUUAUUGCUAAACUUUCUGGCCAAUACAUUUUUAUUUGGGUGACUAAGUUUUAUGGGUUCCAAUGGUAUGUCCAGGUAUGACGGGCCAUCUAUGCUAUGGGUUUUCCCCAUGAAAGCAAGGAACUUUCAAAGGUAUGCUUACUUUGAGUAUAUUUCCACAAAUUCAGAAACAACUCUCUUUUUUCCUAUUAGUUCAGUGGGCCUUGUAAAACUGUUGUUACUAUUUCAUGCUUGCUCGUGUAGAUUAAUUUCUUUUGCCGAUUUGUCAACAACUUAAGAUAAUAUACCCGAGCCAUGUCGUUGACUUCUUUUUGCGCAAAGCAUCCCGUGAUCUACCCAUUAGUCAGCAAAUCAUAUACAUGGAGUGGCAAUUGUGGUUCCUCUAUAUACAAUUGUUCCACUUUGUUAUUGAUGAUCAACCAGAAAGUCAGGGUUCAUGUUACUGCAAUAGAUGGUGAACCAGAAAAUUGGGGUUCAUGUUACUGAAUAUAUGCUAAUUCUGAAAAUUUGUGUACCAAUGAGAUAUCAAUGGGACAAGAGUUGUCGAAGUUCUAUCUGUUGACUAAGUUGCUUGAAGUUCUAUAUAUGUUGCUUGAAGUUCUAUAUGUUUAGUUGCUCAUCUUCUCGCUCACGCUAUCUAUCCAAUGACAACUGGAUUCUUUGUUCGAUCGAGAUUGUUCAGAAAUAUGCAGGGGGGGUAUUUUGUAGGCCCUUUCCAUUAGAACAUUUUGGAGGCACUUCCCCAUGUGUCUUUUUGAACCUAUCCUGCAUUGGUCAAGUCUAUCAUGUAAACUUCUGUAUUUAGUUAUUGGUGGAAACAUUGCACAGAAAUUUGAAAGCUUGAGGUGGCUACUGAAUUGGUUAUCCCUCAAUUCCUGGGUACAAAAUUUCAGCUUGGAUUGGUUGUUGAAAGCAUCAAAGCUAAUUUGUCAGUGAAGAGAAGGUUAUCGUAUGAGUACGGACAACUAGUUUAUUAUGCUAAGGAAGAUUAUGCAGUUAGAUAGUUUGAGUAGAAUACGGUCAAGAAGUGUAUGCUGACCAGGCUCACUCCUGCCUGUCUGCAAGGGCUUGUUAGCUGUCUUGUUCAAGAAGUAUUGCUAUGGGAUUGACUUUGAUGUAUAGGUAUCUCCUUGUGAAGGAUCCUUUUAUCUUGUAGGGGUCUUGUCGUGUGAGCUUACGGUGUUUGAUUCUAUUUUAUUGUUGGUUUGAUACUAAUGUUUGUUAGUUGGUGAUGCUAAAUACUUAAGUAUUAUUAGCAUUUUGUAAAAGACAUUGAUACAAGCGAGUCUGUAAAAACAUUUUGUUUAAAUAAAUGUAUAUUCCUCUUUAUUU